rnacentral:tRNA from 1 species
GAGGGUAUCGUUACACCCACUGACUUGUAAUCAGUAGGUCCCGGGUUCGACUCCUGGUGCCGGCACCA